rnacentral:rRNA from 1 species
GACGAACGCUGGCGGCGUGCUUAACACAUGCAAGUCGAACGGAAAGGCCCUGCUUUUGUGGGGCGCUCGAGUGGCGAACGGGUGAUUAACACGUGAGUAACCUGCCCUUGCCUUUGGGAUAACUUCAGGAAACUGGGGCUAAUAACGGAUAAGUGCUCCCGCUGCCUAGCGGGGGCUGGAAAGUUUGGGCGGUUGGGGAUGGACACGCGGCAUAUCAGCUUGUUGGUGGGGUAGUGGCUUACCAAGGCUGUGACGGGUAGCGGGCCUGAGAGGGUGACCAGCCACAUUGGGACUGGGAUACGACCCAGACUCCUACGGGAGGCAGCAGUGGGGAAUAUUGCACAAUGGACGGAAGCCUGAUGCAGCAACGCCGCGUGCGGGAUGACGGCCUUCGGGUUGUAAACCGCUUUCGCCUGUGACGAAGCGUGAGUGACGGUAAUGGGUAAAGAAGCACCGGCUAACUACGUGCCAGCAGCCGCCGUAA